AUGGGGAAAAGUCACUGUGCCAGCUGCCUUCUUACAAGGCAUCUUCUUCCUAGGAUGUUUCCCAGGAGACCAGCUCGCUAUAGUUGUGCGAACGCAGUGAAGGGGUCCAAAGGACUGGUCUCCAACAGCUACAAACCAUCUAAUAUGCAAACAGACAUGAAAAAAUCUAACAGAUCUCCCGAGAGGUACUUACCCUGGGACCACUGAGAAGGCAGUGAGAAAUGGGACCUGAAUCCCCUCAGGGGAACCCAUGGUAAUGAAGGUGAUAUUCCCUGCAGAGAAGAGGGCUUCAGGGUGAAGCAGAGGUUCCUAGCAGGCUGAUCUAGAUUGCCUCCCAGCCUUCUGUGGAUCAGGGAUUUUAAAAAUUGUGUUCAACGAAUCGUGACAGGGGAAAGUGCAUGAAUCACCAAAACCUUUUUUCCCGCAGGGUUUUCCCCAAGUCUCCAUGUCCAGUGUGGGACCUCAAACCCAUGACCCCAAGAUCAACUCAUAUGUUCCUCCAACUGAGCUGGUGAGGUGCCCCACCAGAGAUUUUCUAAAAAGCAAAAGUAAUAUGGAGGAAUCUACCUUACCAGAUUUUAAAUGUGUUAAAAAUAAAUAGUAUACAUAAGAAACA
rnacentral:lncRNA from 1 species